UACAGAGGAGCCAAGCGUUGUCCGGAUUGACUGGGCGUAAAGCGCACGCAGGCGGACGCGCGCGUGGGGUGUGAAAUCUGGCCGCUUAACGGCCAGGCGCCAUCCCAUACGGCGCGUCUGGAGUGAUGCAGAGGUCGAUGGAAUUGCCGGUGUAGUGGUGAAAUGCGUAGAGAUCGGCAGGAACACCCAGGGGGAAACCAGCCGACUGGGCAUCGACUGACGCUGAGGUGCGAGAGCGUGGGGAGCGAACCGG
rnacentral:rRNA from 1 species